UUCUGCCCACAAAACCAGCAGGGAAUUAUUAGGAUGGAAAGCUGAGACUCUCCUUCCCAGCUCCAGCCUCUUGGAGGUUUGGACCCUCAUUGUGGCUGUGUAGAGGGGAGCUGGGAAUGAGCAAGGGAAAUGGGGCUUUUCUCUCUCUCUGAGCUGGGCUGGACUUGCUGCAGAUGCAGAAGGAGCAGAGCUUACCGGGGAGGCAAAGGAGUCCGUGUCCUCAGCAGGAAAUUCCCUGAAGGGAGUCAGCAGAAUUUCAUCCUGGUGAAAAGAAAACCAGUGGAGAGAAGGCUUCAGCAGGCUCCCUGGGAGAUGCCAUGUUUUCCUCUUCCAGCACCCUCCAAGAGUUGCCCAGGGAGGAAGCUCCUUCGCCCGAGGUCUCAGAGGUCUCAUGUGAACCGAGUGGUGCCGUGACUUCCGUGUGGCACUCGUGCCUGCCUUGGGAGGGAGCAGCCUCUGCCAAGCAGUGGGCAGAUAUCGGGAGGAGGUGAGGGAGCUGCCCUUCACCCUCGCCCAGAGGAGUGGCAAGCCCAGAACCGCCCCGUGCAGGUUGAUGUCCUUCCUGUGCUGGGGCCCCUGGAGCUGGAUGCAGAAGUUCAGGUAGGGUCUCACCUGAAUCAACUCCCAUCUGGACCCAUGGCUUGGAACAGAGAAUAACUCUUAUUAUAAAAAGUGAGUGAAAAUGUUAUGUGUAAGCCAGAUCUGUUUUCAAGGGGAGGGGUUGUUGCUUUCAUUUACAAAUAAGAAGAGUGUUUCCUGGGAUAACAGGAGGGUUAAUAACUGCUCUGGAUUCCCUUGUGCCCUCCAACAGCAUUUCUAUGGGCUGCUAUAAAAUAAACCAGGUCCUGGGGUUGGUGAUCCAGUUGCGUUCUGCUAGGAAAGGCAGCCAGGAUAUCCAGAGUGGUGCUCCCAGUUAAACCCCCA